rnacentral:sRNA from 1 species
GAGGAGGAACCGAUAUGAACGAAGUUCAUAAUUAUGCAAGGUUCCGACAAUUGGCCACCGAGUAAAAAAGGUGGCACAACAAA